rnacentral:rRNA from 1 species
AGGAUGAACGCUGGCGGCGCGCUUAACACAUGCAAGUCGAACGAUGAAGCCGGAGCUUGCUCUGGUGGAUUAGUGGCGAACGGGUGAGUAACACGUGAGUAACCUGCCCUUGACUCUGGGAUAAGCACUGGAAACGGUGUCUAAUACCGGAUACGAGCUUUAGCCGCAUGGCUAGGAGCUGGAAAGAAUUUCGGUCAAGGAUGGACUCGCGGCCUAUCAGGUAGUUGGUGAGGUAACGGCCCACCAAGCCUACGACGGGUAGCCGGCCUGAGAGGGUGACCGGCCACACUGGGACUGAGACACGGCCCAGACUCCGUACGGGAGGCAGCAGGUGGGGAAUAGUUGACACAAGUGGGCGCAAGCCUGAUGCAGCAACGCCGCGUGAGGGACGACGGUCCGUUCGGUUACGUAAACCUUCGUUUUAAGGUAGGAAGAAGACGAAAGUCGACGGUACCUAGAC